UACGAAGGGGGCUAGCGUUGUUCGGAUUUACUGGGCGUAAGGCGCACGUAGGCGGAUCGAUCAGUCAGGGGUGAAAUCCCAGAGCUCAACUCUGGAACUGCCUUUGAUACUGUCGAUCUGGAGUAUGGAAGAGGUAAGUGGAAUUCCGAGUGUAGAGGUGAAAUUCGUAGAUAUUCGGAGGAACACCAGUGGCGAAGGCGGCUUACUGGUCCAUUACUGACGCUGAGGUGCGAAAGCGUGGGGAGCAAACAGG
rnacentral:rRNA from 1 species